GUGAGUCAUCGAAUCUUUGAACGCAUAUUGCGCCCUUUGGUAUUCCGAAGGGCAUGCCUGUUCGAGCGUCAUUAUUACCCCUCAAGCCCCCGGCUUGGUGUUGGACGGUUUGGUUUUGGCGACAAGACCCCUUCUAAAGUCAAUGACGGCGGCCUGUGUGACCCCCGAUACACUGAGCUUCUUAACUGAGCACGUAUCGGUUCAAGGGCGGACAGGACCCGGUCUUCUUCCUUUACGGGAAAAUUCUUUCCACAAGGUUGACCUCGGAUCAGGUAGGGAUACCCGCUGAACUUAAGCAUAUCAAUAAGCGGAGGA
rnacentral:misc_RNA from 1 species